CCUACGGGGGGCAGCAGUGGGGAAUAUUGGACAAUGGGCGAAAGCCUGAUCCAGCCAUGCCGCGUGUGUGAAGAAGGCCUUCGGGUUGUAAAGCACUUUCAGUGGGGAAGAAAGCCUUGGGGCUAAUACCCUCGAGGAAGGACAUCACCCACAGAAGAAGCACCGGCUAACUCCGUGCCAGCAGCCGCGGUAAUACGGAGGGUGCGAGCGUUAAUCGGAAUUACUGGGCGUAAAGCGCGCGUAGGCGGUCUGAUAAGCCGGUUGUGAAAGCCCCGGGCUCAACCUGGGAACGGCAUCCGGAACUGUCAGGAUAGAGUGCAGGAGAGGAAGGUAGAAUUCCCGGGGUAGCGGUGAAAUGCGUAGAGAUCGGGAGGAAUACCAGUGGCGAAGGCGGCCUUCUGGACUGACACUGACGCUGAGGUGCGAAAGCGUGGGUAGCAAACAGGAUUAGAUACCCGUGUAGUC
rnacentral:rRNA from 1 species